GAGACCCUCACCUCUAGUUGCCAGCGGGUUCCACCGGAAUGCCGGGCACACUAUGGGGACUGCCGCCGAUAAGGCGGAGGAAGGAGAGGGCUACGGCAGGUCAGUAUGCCCCGAAUGCCCCGGGCCACACGCGGGCUGCAAUGAUAGGGACAGAGGGCUCCAACCCCGAAAGGGGAAGGUAAUCCCCAAACCCUAUCUCAGUUGGGAUUGAGGGCUGAAACCCGCCCUCAUGAACAUGGAAUCCCUAGUAAUCGCAUGUCAUCAUCGUGCGGUGAAUAC
rnacentral:rRNA from 1 species